rnacentral:rRNA from 1 species
UACAGAGGGUGCGAGCGUUGUCCGGAAUCACUGGGCGUAAAGGGCGCGUAGGCGGCCAAACAGGUCAGCUGUGAAAACUCGAGGCUCAACCUCGAGACGUCGGUUGAAACCGUUUGGCUAGAGUCCGGAAGAGGAGAGUGGAAUUCCCGGUGUAGCGGUGAAAUGCGCAGAUAUCGGGAAGAACACCCGUGGCUAAGGCGGCUCUCUAGUACGGUACUGACGCUGAGACGCGAAAGCGUGGGGAGCAAACAGG